UCUGAAAGCAGAAGAACUUGAUUGGUCUGAAAAAUGUGGACUGAUUAGACGAAACCCAGUGACUGCAGCAAGAAUGUUUGAUCAUCGAUGGCAUUGUUUUCUGAGAGAUGUAAUCAUGUCUUCAGCUCAACCGAUUGGGAAGAUAGUAGAUUACUUUUAUCGUGUAGAGUUUCAACAGCGUGGAUCUCCUCAUGUUCAUUGUCUGUUUUGGGGUGAAAAUGCACCGAAGUUAAAUGAAGAUGAUGAAGAAAAUGAUGGUUUGGUUGCUAGUUUCAUUGAUCGUUACAUCACUUGUGAGACCCCAAGAGAGGAUGAAACUGAACUGUUUGAGACAGUCAAUGGUGUUCAAGAAGCACAGUGUUAGACAUUCAAAGACGUGUUGUUAAAAAAAAGACAGUUUGCAGAUUUAGUUUUCCACGACCCCCAUCUAGCCGUACCUUUAUUACAAGAGGUGGUAGUCGAGACGAUUUGAAAAGCAGUGAUGGAAAAGAUACUGCACGUACAAUUUUAGAAAAAGUCAAAAAGGCUUUAACAGCUUCUGAUAUGAAUUACGAUUCAACAGAUGCAUUUUUUGAGUCCAUUGGUAUUAACCAAGCUCUCUUCGAGAAAGUGUACACAAAGUGUUCCAAAAAGAAAACCGUUGUCCUGAAAAGAAAUCCAAAAGACAUCUGGGUGAACCAGUAUAAUAAACAUUUACUGCGUGCCUGGCAAGGCAACAUGGAUAUCCAGUAUGUCACUGAUGCUUACUCUGUAGUGGUUUACAUUAUUAGUUACAUCACAAAAGCAGAACAAGAAAUGGGUUUGUUGCUGCAACGUGCGCAAUAUGAAGCCAUGAAUGGAAAUCUUGAAGCGAGAUCAUCAUUGAAAAUGCUUGGUAGUGUAUAUCUUCACAACAGAAAAGUUUCUGCUCAAGAGGCUGUGUAUCGUCUGACCGGUAUGCACUUGAAAGAAUGUUCUCGUAAAGUCCAGUUUAUUCCAGUUGGAUUGAAUCCUGUAAAGAUGAGUUUGCCUCUUCGUGUCAUCAAAAACAAAGUUGAUCAGUCUGGUGAAGAAACUAGCUUUUGGAUGACUAGUCUGGUUGACAGAUACAAGAAUAGGCCAAACACGGAGGAGUUUGAGAUUCAAUGUCUUGCAAGUUUUUGCUCUGAAAACAGGAUGUUGUCAAAAUCUGAGGUUUCUUCACAAAAAAAGUCUUCAGAAGACAAGGUGAUUAAGCUUAACAACGACUGUGGUUAUAUGAUGAAGAGAACUCGAACUGAACCUGCUGUUGUCCGAUAUCCGGGAUUUUCUCCCAAAAAAGAUCCUGAAAAGUACUUUCAUUCAUUGUUGCAACUUUUCUUGCCACAUUACGAAGAUUGUCAGCUCAAGCCUCAGAGUUUUAGCACUUAUGAGGAUUUCUACAACAAUGGUGCUGUGAAAUGUGGAAGAGAUGUGACACAAGUCAAGUGUAUUGUUGAUGCCAAUCGAGCACUGUUUGAAAAGGAAAGUGACAAAAUCGAUCGAGCUCAACAGCUUUUGGAGCAAGGUGUUGAUUUGGAAGAUGCUUGGGCUGCAUUAUGUCCUGAAACCGAAAAGGAACGUCACGAAUGCAUAGAACUAAGGAAGAGUAAUCCAAUUCCUGAUGAAGAUGAUUCUGAGUGUUCUAUUCCAGAUCUUGU
ensembl:lncRNA